rnacentral:rRNA from 1 species
UACGUAGGGGGCAAGCGCUGUCCGGAAUCAUUGGGCGUAAAGAGCGUGUAGGCGGCCUGGUAAGUCCGCUGUGAAAGUCCAGGGCUCAACCCUGGAAUGCCGGUGGAAACUGUCAGGCUCGAGUCCGGAAGAGGCGAGUGGAAUUCCUGGUGUAGCGGUGAAAUGCGUAGAUAUUGGGAGGAACACCAGUGGCGAAGGCGGCUCACUGGACCGGUACUGACGCUGAUGCGCGAAAGCGUGGGGAGCAAACGGG